rnacentral:snRNA from 1 species
AUCGCUUUUGGACCUUUUGGCUAAAAUCAAGUGUAGUACCUG